rnacentral:lncRNA from 1 species
GCUAAAAACGCAAUUUACCCCUCCUCUCAAAAACACGCGGAUCCUAGGCCGGGUCGGGUCGGAGUCGGGUCGGCUUACCCAAAACGACGCCUUUUUGGGCGAAUGAGGGCUCUCCAAAACGACGCCGUUUUGGUACCCUAUAAAUACCCCCAAUCUUCCAAAAAAAUCAUUUGAAACCCUUUUUUAAAAAAAACAAAAAAACCUUAAAGAAACACUCUCCCC